rnacentral:rRNA from 1 species
UUAAGCGACUAAGCGUACACGGUGGAUGCCCUGGCAGUCAGAGGCGAUGAAGGACGUGCUAAUCUGCGAUAAGCGUCGGUAAGGUGAUAUGAACCGUUAUAACCGGCGAUUUCCGAAUGGGGAAACCCAGUGUGUUUCGACACACUAUCAUUAACUGAAUCCAUAGGUUAAUGAGGCGAACCGGGGGAACUGAAACAUCUAAGUACCCCGAGGAAAAGAAAUCAACCGAGAUUCCCCCAGUAGCGGCGAGCGAACGGGGAGCAGCCCAGAGCCUGAAUCAGUGUGUGUGUUAGUGGAAGCGUCUGGAAAGGCGCGCGAUACAGGGUGACAGCCCCGUACACAAAAAUGCACAUGCUGUGAGCUCGAUGAGUAGGGCGGGACACGUGGUAUCCUGUCUGAAUAUGGGGGGACCAUCCUCCAAGGCUAAAUACUCCUGACUGACCGAUAGUGAACCAGUACCGUGAGGGAAAGGCGAAAAGAACCCCGGCGAGGGGAGUGAAAAAGAACCUGAAACCGUGUACGUACAAGCAGUGGGAGCACGCUUAGGCGUGUGACUGCGUACCUUUUGUAUAAUGGGUCAGCGACUUAUAUUCUGUAGCAAGGUUAACCGAAUAGGGGAGCCGAAGGGAAACCGAGUCUUAACUGGGCGUUAAGUUGCAGGGUAUAGACCCGAAACCCGGUGAUCUAGCCAUGGGCAGGUUGAAGGUUGGGUAACACUAACUGGAGGACCGAACCGACUAAUGUUGAAAAAUUAGCGGAUGACUUGUGGCUGGGGGUGAAAGGCCAAUCAAACCGGGAGAUAGCUGGUUCUCCCCGAAAGCUAUUUAGGUAGCGCCUCGUGAAUUCAUCUCCGGGGGUAGAGCACUGUUUCGGCAAGGGGGUCAUCCCGACUUACCAACCCGAUGCAAACUGCGAAUACCGGAGAAUGUUAUCACGGGAGACACACGGCGGGUGCUAACGUCCGUCGUGAAGAGGGAAACAACCCAGACCGCCAGCUAAGGUCCCAAAGUCAUGGUUAAGUGGGAAACGAUGUGGGAAGGCCCAGACAGCCAGGAUGUUGGCUUAGAAGCAGCCAUCAUUUAAAGAAAGCGUAAUAGCUCACUGGUCGAGUCGGCCUGCGCGGAAGAUGUAACGGGGCUAAACCAUGCACCGAAGCUGCGGCAGCGACGCUUAUGCGUUGUUGGGUAGGGGAGCGUUCUGUAAGCCUGCGAAGGUGUGCUGUGAGGCAUGCUGGAGGUAUCAGAAGUGCGAAUGCUGACAUAAGUAACGAUAAAGCGGGUGAAAAGCCCGCUCGCCGGAAGACCAAGGGUUCCUGUCCAACGUUAAUCGGGGCAGGGUGAGUCGACCCCUAAGGCGAGGCCGAAAGGCGUAGUCGAUGGGAAACAGGUUAAUAUUCCUGUACUUGGUGUUACUGCGAAGGGGGGACGGAGAAGGCUAUGUUGGCCGGGCGACGGUUGUCCCGGUUUAAGCGUGUAGGCUGGUUUUCCAGGCAAAUCCGGAAAAUCAAGGCUGAGGCGUGAUGACGAGGCACUACGGUGCUGAAGCAACAAAUGCCCUGCUUCCAGGAAAAGCCUCUAAGCAUCAGGUAACAUCAAAUCGUACCCCAAACCGACACAGGUGGUCAGGUAGAGAAUACCAAGGCGCUUGAGAGAACUCGGGUGAAGGAACUAGGCAAAAUGGUGCCGUAACUUCGGGAGAAGGCACGCUGAUAUGUAGGUGAAGUCCCUCGCGGAUGGAGCUGAAAUCAGUCGAAGAUACCAGCUGGCUGCAACUGUUUAUUAAAAACACAGCACUGUGCAAACACGAAAGUGGACGUAUACGGUGUGACGCCUGCCCGGUGCCGGAAGGUUAAUUGAUGGGGUUAGCCGCAAGGCGAAGCUCUUGAUCGAAGCCCCGGUAAACGGCGGCCGUAACUAUAACGGUCCUAAGGUAGCGAAAUUCCUUGUCGGGUAAGUUCCGACCUGCACGAAUGGCGUAAUGAUGGCCAGGCUGUCUCCACCCGAGACUCAGUGAAAUUGAACUCGCUGUGAAGAUGCAGUGUACCCGCGGCAAGACGGAAAGACCCCGUGAACCUUUACUAUAGCUUGACACUGAACAUUGAGCCUUGAUGUGUAGGAUAGGUGGGAGGCUUUGAAGUGUGGACGCCAGUCUGCAUGGAGCCGACCUUGAAAUACCACCCUUUAAUGUUUGAUGUUCUAACGUUGACCCGUAAUCCGGGUUGCGGACAGUGUCUGGUGGGUAGUUUGACUGGGGCGGUCUCCUCCUAAAGAGUAACGGAGGAGCACGAAGGUUGGCUAAUCCUGGUCGGACAUCAGGAGGUUAGUGCAAUGGCAUAAGCCAGCUUGACUGCGAGCGUGACGGCGCGAGCAGGUGCGAAAGCAGGUCAUAGUGAUCCGGUGGUUCUGAAUGGAAAGGCCAUCGCUCAACGGAUAAAAGGUACUCCGGGGAUAACAGGCUGAUACCGCCCAAGAGUUCAUAUCGACGGCGGUGUUUGGCACCUCGAUGUCGGCUCAUCACAUCCUGGGGCUGAAGUAGGUCCCAAGGGUAUGGCUGUUCGCCAUUUAAAGUGGUACGCGAGCUGGGUUUAGAACGUCGUGAGACAGUUCGGUCCCUAUCUGCCGUGGGCGCUGGAGAACUGAGGGGGCUGCUCCUAGUACGAGAGGACCGGAGUGGACGCAUCACUGGUGUUCGGGUUGUCAUGCCAAUGGCACUGCCCGGUAGCUAAAUGCGGAAGAGAUAAGUGCUGAAAGCAUCUAAGCACGAAACUUGCCCCGAGAUGAGUUCUCCCUGACUCCUUGAGAGUCCUGAAGGAACGUUGAAGACGACGACGUUGAUAGGCCGGGUGUGUAAGCGCAGCGAUGCGUUGAGCUAACCGGUACUAAUGAACCGUGAGGCUUAACCUU